AGGUUGGUCUGGUCUGUGUUGGGUGUGUAUAUAAGGCGGAGCACCUCCCAUUUCCCUCAUUGUGUGCCUGUCGUUCUCAUCACUUUAGUACAGGAUGAUGAAACUCUGGUUAGUGGUGUGUGUGGUGGGUGGGUGGCAAGUGUCCCUGGGGGCGGGGCAACUGCCUUGUCUGGCUGAUCCAAUUCAACCUGAUUGCGUUGCCUUCUGCCCAAAUAAUUAUAAUGGUGAAUACUUCUGCUGCGACACCAAUGGCAACAAUCCAGGGCAGUGUCCAAAAUACAGUUUAACCGCCGACGAGAGGUCCUUGCUGUGUGACCCCACUCAACACAACUACCCCUAUCACCUCAACUGUAAGAGUGACACUGACUGUUUCGCGUGGGAGAAGUGCUGCUACCUCCCACAAAACAACCAGCGCAUCUGUCGUAGCAGUGUAUAGGUACUUUGAAGUCCUGCAAUUGUCAAUCACUACGUGCCAGCCAACACCACCAAAUAACCGCCAGAAUAAGAUGUCAUUACCAGAAGAACUGUUUGCACCAUCGGAAUUUUAAUUAUAUUUUAUUAUUAGAAUCAUUCAUUUCGUAACUUCCAUAAAUGUCUAUACAGAUGAUCAUCACAGUUCAAACUAAUUCCUGUAACCAACCAUCAAAACAUUUAUAUAAGUUUAUAAUAAUAAUCGUAAAUAACUAUGUUCCUCCUCUUAUACAUUGUACAUGACAGAAAGUUGUUUAAAAUAAAUGUUGAUGUUGCUCCUAAAA